GGCGGUAUAGCUUAGUUGGCUAGAGCGUCCGGUUCAUACCCGGAAGGUCACAGGUUCAAGUCCUGUUACCGCUACCA
rnacentral:tRNA from 1 species